rnacentral:rRNA from 1 species
AUUGAACGCUGGCGGCAGGCCUAACACAUGCAAGUCGAACGAGUGGCGGACGGGCGAGUAAUGUCUGGGAAACUGCCUGAUGUAGGGGGAUAACUACUGGAAACGGUUGCUAAUUCCGCAUACCAUCAGAUGUGCCCAGUGGGGAUUAGCUUGUGGGUGGGGUAACGGCGAACCAAGGCGACGAUCCUGAGCUGGUCUGAGAGGAUGACCGUCCACACUGGAACUGAGACACGGUCCAGACUCCUACGGGAGGCAGCAGUGGGGAAGAUUGGACAAGGGGCGAAAGCCUGACCCAGCCAUGCCGCGUGUAUGAAGAAGGCCUUCGGGUUGUAAAGUACUUUCAGCGGGGAGGCGUUACCCGCAGAAGAAGCACCGGCUAACUCCGUGCCAGCAGCCGCGGUAAUAC